AGUGAACGCUGGCGGCGUGCCUAAUACAUGCAAGUCGAACGGAGUGGCGCACGGGUGAGUAAUAUAUAGCUAAUCUGCCCCUUGCUGGAGGACAACAGUUAGAAAUGACUGCUAAUACCCCAUAGCAAGGGAUGAGACUAUAUCGUAUCAGCUAGUCGGUGGGGUAACGGCCUACCGAGGCUAUGACGCGUAACUGUGCUGAGAGGAUGAUCAGUAACAUUGGAACUGAGACACCGUCGAAAAUCAUACGGCAGGGAGCGGUAGGGAAUAGUGCGCAAUGGGGGAAACCCAGACGGAGCAACGGCGUGUGGAGGACGAUACUUUUCGGAGAAUAAACUCCUUUUGUUAGGGUAGCGGUACCUGACGAAUAAGCACCGGCUAACUCCGUGCCAGCAGCCGCGGUAAUUC
rnacentral:rRNA from 1 species